UACGAAGGGGGCUAGCGUUGUUCGGAAUUACUGGGCGUAAAGCGCACGUAGGCGGGUUCUUAAGUCAGGGGUGAAAUCCUGGAGCUCAACUCCAGAACUGCCUUUGAUACUGAGGAUCUUGAGUUCGGGAGAGGUGAGUGGAACUGCGAGUGUAGAGGUGAAAUUCGUAGAUAUUCGCAAGAACACCAGUGGCGAAGGCGGCUCACUGGCCCGAUACUGACGCUGAGGCACGAAAGCGUGGGGAGCAAACAGG
rnacentral:rRNA from 1 species